ensembl:lincRNA
UGUGGUGUUUGUUACUUUCCUCAUCUCUGAGUGCCAUCUACUUUGAGCAACUCCUUAAACAGACAAAUUUAAUUUUGCAAGCUCUAAUAACAUGCAGGGAGAAGUUACAAGUCUAAACUCUGAAUAAAUUGAGAAAUAAAGCUGACAUUUCAUUUAAAAAACUUGAAAACUCAGGCUAUUCCUUUUAUUUUCUGGGACAAGUUAGACUGAGAGACAUGACUAGUUUAUUUCUAAUUAGAUUUGUAAAUACCGAGUCUUAAAUCCGAAAGAUUCACUAAUUUAUUCAGGGUGGUCCCAUUGGAUGCACACAUGUCAUACAGCAGGAUCCAUACUUUCUUUGGGCAAAUUGGCUCCGAGAGGAGGACGUACAGCACUGAGCAAAAACAACCAGUUAGUCUUCCCAAAUAUCAUAUCCAGUGUAGCCAACGCUGAGAUUAGACACUUAUAAUAAUGAAAAUUUAUAUAUAGCAGGGGCAUGAUUGUUUUUUCUCCUGACUUUAGACUACUAGCUAUCAAAUGAAAAUAGAUAAAAUAUUUCCCUUCAGAAGGGCAAGGCAGGUUCAAUAGAAGGUGAAGUGCAACAGUACAGUGUAGUAGCCCCACCUGAGGAAGCUAUGAGGUGCACGAUGAUACAUCUUUUGUCACCAAUACGCCGUCCUCUGAUGCAAACUGCCUCUUUCAUGUUUCUGGAAUCGGCACCAACAAAACAAGAACUCUUUUGAAACUGCAGUCUUGGUAUUAGCUGUUCCUGCCAAAGUUAAGACUUAGAAUGAUGCCCAUCAAUAUUUUACUUGGAACAGGCAACAAUCAGUCGGUGAUGUCAAACAUGGUAGGAUCUGGAUUGAUUCCAAGUGUGAAGGGAGACCUUCAGAACUCUAUGCAGCCCGCCAUGGCUCUGCAGUCAGCUCUCAACUGCUGACUACAGAUUUAACGUGGCUGCACUCUUGAGAUCCUAGAUAUGGCCUAUGGAGACAAAAGAGAAGAGAGAGGCAUGUGAGGAACAUCCCUACUCCUUGAAUCAAGAGUGGGAUAAAAAAAACUUAAUAGCCCAAUUGGAGGAAAAUGAAGAGGAAGAGGAAAAGGGAGAAACAAAGGAAAGAAGCAAGGAAGAGAAAAGGGAAUCAACAAGUGGAAGAAAAAAACCAGGGAAGAAUGUAUAUAUGCCCAUUUCUUCCUAUACACAUUGUGUUCAAUUCUUGAGCUGGGUGGAUUUUCUGAAUGAAGGCCUGAGAAGAAGAUGCUUAUAACAUUUACAGAGAUUACUAACUGUGAAGAAAGAGCUGAACAAGACAAAGGGAGCCUUCAAAUCUUGAUGAAGAUGUGAUCAAAUCCACCAUAGCCUGGUAAGUCUCUAGGCAAACACUGCCCACUGGAAGCUUCUCCAAUUGGAAGGACACUCCCUCACCUCCACUGCUCCCACGGUAUUGGGGAAUGAACUUAGUUUGCUCUAAGUAAUACAUUGGUCCCUUUUUAUUUUUAUUUUUAUUUUAUUUUAAGACAGCAUUUCACUAAAUUGACCAAGCUAAGAAGAAACUUUCUGCCUCAGUCCCCCAGUGUGCGGGGUGUUACACCACGUCCAGCUCACUAUGCUGCAACCUCUCUAAAUGAUUGUCUGGUAAUUGAGUCAAGAAUAGUAGGACCAUAAAGACCAAC